rnacentral:rRNA from 1 species
UACAGAGGGGGCAAGCGUUAUUCGGAAUUAUUGGGCGUAAAGGGCGCGUAGGCGGCAUGGCAAGUGGAAGGUGAAAUCCCUCGGCUUAACCGAGGAACUGCCCUCCAAACUGCUUUGCUUGAGGCCGGGAGAGGUGAGUGGAAUUCCCAGUGUAGCGGUGAAAUGCGCAGAUAUCAGGAGGAACACCGGUGGCGAAGGCGGAUCUCUGGGCCUGUUCUGACGCUGAGGCGCGAAAGCUAGGGGAGCAAACAGG